AAACAAUUGGAAUAAGGUGGGAGCCACCACACUUUUGGCUGGAACGUGCAACACAUACACAUGAUUGGCUUCACAUUCCCAGCACCAUUACAUGAGCAACACUGAGAGAAGAGGAUUCCAGCAGCAGCUCCAGCUACCACCGUCAAGCUUCAACACACCUCCAACCACCAUCUUCACUCCAUCCAGCACCUCCAAAGUCCAGCACACAUGAAGAGAGUGCACGGUCUUGGGUUGGGAGGAAACAGCACAACACCAUUCCAGCACGUCCAAGGGAGCUUCACGGGAAGGAGAAGAGUGUCACGGUCUAGCUUCAUCCUAGUUGAUCCAGCAGCGUUGGAAGAGAUAAAAUGGUUCACCAAGUACUGAGUUGUUGAAGCAUAACGUGAUUCAUUUGGUGGAAGAAAGAGUAGUUCACGGACAUGACAGUAGAGGAAGCUACAACAGUUUGGAAUGGAAAGCUUUCACGUGAAUCUUGGGAAAACGGAUACCACAAAAAAUGGAGGUCCCACUUGCUCCUUAAUUGAGUAAAGAAGUCAGAGAAUUGGCAAUAAAAGGAGAGCUUAAGGACACACGUCUGGGGGGAUAAGGGCCUGGGAGAGUUCCUUUCUUCCAUAUAGCUCCAGAUUCUCAUUCCAGUAGUGUAGGCAACUUCAGAGAGUGAUUUGAAUUUCAGUAAAAUGUAAUAGUAGUGGAGUGUAGAGUGAUGUAUGAGAGGAGAGAGAGGGCCGUGGAGGAGAUCAGUGGAACAGUGUACAGACGGCGGGAUAGUAGGUGAUUGGCACAGUAGACGUUUAACAAUCUGUGGUGCUCGAAGAGGACUAACCUUGUGAGUAAUAAGGUGAUAAUCUCUUUGUCUAUGACUCUACAAAGCAUAAAUAUUACUACAAGUGCACACUUAGAAUGAAUCUCAAUGUGAAAGGUUUAUAUCUCGCACUGUGCACAUUGAUUAGGAUUGGAAAAUGAAGAAUUCUG
rnacentral:sRNA from 1 species